CAACAAAGUGAAAGCCAUCUAUGGCCAUGCCCGAUCCCAUCUGAUCUCGGAAGCUAAGCAGGGUGGUGUCCGGUUAGUACUUGGAUGGGAGACCACCCAGGAAGACCAGGUGCUGUAGG
rnacentral:rRNA from 1 species